AGAGACCGGCGCACGGGUGCGUAACGCGUAUGCAAUCUACCUUUCACAGAGGGAUAGCCCAGAGAAAUUUGGAUUAAUACCUCAUAGUAUAGCAGUUUCGCAUGAAACCACUAUUAAAGUCACAACGGUGAAAGAUGAGCAUGCGUCCCAUUAGUUAGUUGGUAAGGUAACGGCUUACCAAGACUACGAUGGGUAGGGGUCCUGAGAGGGAGAUCCCCCACACUGGUACUGAGACACGGACCAGACUCCUACGGGAGGCAGCAGUGAGGAAUAUUGGACAAUGGGCGCAAGCCUGAUCCAGCCAUGCCGCGUGCAGGAUGACGGUCCUAUGGAUUGUAAACUGCUUUUAUACGAGAAGAAACAACUCUACGUGUAGAGUCUUGACGGUAUCGUAAGAAUAAGGAUCGGCUAACUCCGUGCCAGCAGCCGCGGUAAUACGGAGGAUCCAAGCGUUAUCCGGAAUCAUUGGGUUUAAAGGGUCCGUAGGCGGUCAGAUAAGUCAGUGGUGAAAGCCCAUCGCUCAACGGUGGAACGGCCAUUGAUA
rnacentral:rRNA from 1 species